GACGAACGCUGGCGGCGUGCCUAAUACAUGCAAGUCGAGCGAAUCUUGAGGUGCUUGCACCUCUUGGUUAGCGGCGGACGGGUGAGUAACACGUGGGCAACCUGCCUGUAAGACUGGGAUAACUUCGGGAAACCGGAGCUAAUACCGGAUAAUCCUUUUCCUCUCAUGAGGACAAGCUGAAAGUCGGUUUACGCUGACACUUACAGUUUGGCCCGCGGCGCAUUAGCUAGUUGGUGAGGUAACGGCUCACCAAGGCGACGAUGCGUAGCCGACCUGAGACGGUGAUCGGCCACACUGUGACUGAGACACGGCCCAGACUCCUACGGGAGGCAGCAGUAGGGAAUCUUCCGCAAUGGACGAAAGUCUGACGGAGCAACGCCGCGUGAGCGAUGAAGGCCUUCGGGUCGUAAAGCUCUGUUGUUAGGGAAGAACAAGUAUCGGAGUAACUGCCGGUACCUUGACGGUACCUAACCAGAAAGCCACGGCUAACUACGUGCCAGCCGCCGCCGUAACAC
rnacentral:rRNA from 1 species